rnacentral:rRNA from 1 species
UGGGGAAUAUUGCACAAUGGGCGCAAGCCUGAUGCAGCCAUGCCGCGUUUAUGAAGAAGGCCUUCGGGUUGUAAAGUACUUUCAGCGGGGAGGAAGGGAGUAAAGUUAAUACCUUUACUCAUUGACGUUACCCGCAGAAGAAGCACCGGCUAACUCCGUGCCAGCAGCCGCGGUAAUACGGAGGGUGCAAGCGUUAAUCGGAAUUACUGGGCGUAAAGCGCACGUAGGCGGUUUGUUAAGUCAGAUGUGAAAUCCCCGGGCUCAACCUGGAAACUGCAUCUGAUACUGGCAAGCUUGAGUAUCGUAGAGGGGGGUAGAAUUACAGGUGUAGCGGUGAUAUGCGUAGAGAUCUGUAGGAAUACCGGUGGCGAAGGCGACCCACUGGACGAAGACUGACGCUCAGGUGCGAAAGCGUGGGGAGCAAACAGG